rnacentral:rRNA from 1 species
UACGUAGGGUGCGAGCGUUUGUCCGGAAUUAUUGGGCGUAAAGAGCUCGUAGGCGGCUUGUCGCGUCGACUGUGAAAACCCGUGGCUCAACCAUGUGGUCUGCAGUCGAUACGGGCAGGCUAGAAUUCGGUAGGGGAGACUGGAAUUCCUGGUGUAGCGGUGAAAUGCGCAGAUAUCAGGAGGAACACCGGUGGCGAAGGCGGGUCUCUGGGCCGAUAUUGACGCUGAGGAGCGAAAGCGUGGGGAGCGAACAGG